rnacentral:tRNA from 1 species
GGUCGAGUAGCUCAGCUGGAUAGAGCAACAGCCUUCUAAGCUGUGGGUCUUGGGUUCGAAUCCCAACUCGAUCACUA